rnacentral:rRNA from 1 species
CCUACGGGAGGCAGCAGUAGGGAAUAUUGGGCAAUGGGCGCAAGCCUGACCCAGCGACGCCGCGUGAGGGAUGAAGGUCUUCGGAUUGUAAACCUCUUUCAGUAGGGAAGAAGCGAAAGUGACGGUACCUAAAGAAAAAG